CCUACGGGUGGCAGCAGGGGGGAAUAUUGGACAAUGGGCGAAAGCCUGAUCCAGCCAUGCCGCGUGUGUGAAGAAGGCCUUCGGGUUGUAAAGCACUUUCAGUGGGGAAGAAAGCCUUGGGGCUAAUACCCUCGAGGAAGGACAUCACCCACAGAAGAAGCACCGGCUAACUCCGUGCCAGCAGCCGCGGUAAUACGGAGGGUGCGAGCGUUAAUCGGAAUUACUGGGCGUAAAGCGCGCGUAGGCGGUCUGAUAAGCCGGUUGUGAAAGCCCCGGGCUCAACCUGGGAACGGCAUCCGGAACUGUCAGGCUAGAGUGCAGGAGAGGAAGGUAGAAUUCCCGGUGUAGCGGUGAAAUGCGUAGAGAUCGGGAGGAAUACCAGUGGCGAAGGCGGCCUUCUGGACUGACACUGACGCUGAGGUGCGAAAGCGUGGGUAGCAAACAGGAUUAGAUACCCGUGUAGUC
rnacentral:rRNA from 1 species